CAGCCUUUCAUAGGAUUUGAAGGGGAGGUGGCUACAUGGUCUAUUACGCAUAAAUCAAAGAGGAAAUACGUCUUUAGCCAUGAAGAAUUGUUUAUAUAAUAACAUGUACAAGAAGGAGCUCGGAUUUUUGGUUUUGUAUGCCAUUGCUUUUUAUGCCUUCAUCAUCCAACGAUCACUUCUUCUAUCCCGCGAUCAUUAUCGUAAGCUGCCCGGUUUACGUCCUGGCUGGCUCUUUCAUCUUGGCUUCAGCGAUGCUUCUGAUGCUCAGUGGAGGAACUUCCGUGGAAAUUUACCAAUUCUUACUCUAGUUCUCACAAUUUUCACAGCAUUGGCUAAUAUGUCAAGGUCAUAUUUUCACUUAAAAGCCAAGGGAAUGUCAAUUGUUUGGCUUUUCAUAUCUAUGGUUUAUCUGUUGUACCUACAUGGAGCUUGCAUCAUAUUCAUCCUCUCCAUAGCUGCUGCUAAUUUCCUUUUGACUAAGAUAUUUGCACGCACAAAGUACUUCCCUUGGGCGCUUUGGGUGUAUAACAUAUUUUUUCUUCUAUGUAAUCGUGUUUACAAAGGAUAUUCUUUCACCCUUUUUGGGCAACGAUGGGCCUAUUUGGAUCAUUUCCGAGGCACAUUUAGAUGGCACAUUUGCUUCAACUUUGUUGUUUUGCGCAUGAUAAGCUUUGGAUACGAUUAUCAUUUGGCACAGCAAGAUUCUUGUUUUGAUCAGAAGAGGCAUAUUCAACGAUGCUGCAUUUGUAAGUCGGGAAAAAUUUGUAACUAUGUUCUUCAGGAGAGGAGUGUCCAAAGCAAAAAUUUGAAGUUUAGCAUAUACCUCUGCUAUUUGGUGUAUGCACCAUUAUAUAUUGCGGGUCCAAUAAUAAGCUUCAAUGCAUUUGCUUCUCAGCUAGAUGCGCCUCAAAAAAAUAAUUCACGUAGAGACAUAGCAUGGUAUGGAUUGCGUUGGGUCUUCACUCUUUUUCUCAUGGAACUAAUUACGCAUAUGUUUUAUUACAAUGCCUUUGCAAUCAGUGGCUUGUGGAGACAUUUAUCUCCUAUGGACAUAUUCAUCAUUGGAUAUGGGGUGAGAGAUCUUAAAUUUUAUGUGGCUAAAAUUUUCUCUCAUCUGGCGCUAUUUCCGCUUCUGGUCUCUGGUACAUUGGUCAGUGGUAUUGAAACCCCUGAAAACAUGCCGCGAUGCAUUAAUAAUUGCUACAACCUGGAAAGUUUUUGGAAAAAUUGGCAUGCUUCCUUCAACAAAUGGAUUGUGAGGUAUAUGUAUAUUCCUCUUGGGGGAUCUCAAAGAAAGCUGCUUAAUAUAUGGGUUAUAUUCACAUUUGUCGCCAUCUGGCACGAUUUAGAAUGGAAGCUUCUUUCAUGGGCAUGGUUGACAUGUUUAUUCUUUAUUCCAGAAUUGCUGGUGAAGUCAGCAUCAAAUACAUUCCAGGUUGAGAAUGCUUUUGGGGAAUUCGUCUUCCGAGAACUCAGUGCUUUUGCUGGUGCCAUCACAAUUACAUGUCUCAUGGUCUGUUUACAUUUAAACCGAGAUAAAAGUUGCAAACCUUGUUGGCUAUGUUAUUGGACCAUCGGGCAUUAAUUGGUUGAUCUCUCAAUUUCUUAGUAAAGAAGGGCUACCUAUCCUCGGUGGUAUGUUGAUAAGCUUCUACGUGGGGACGAAGCUCAUGUUCCACAUUCAUGCAGCUAAGGAGAGAAGAAAGUGAAAGAAGUUUUUCAUUUCACGUGGUUCAAGUUUCUUAGUUAAUGUUAGGUUAUGAUUAGUGUUUAAUUUCAUGAUAUUGUCUAAGAGUAUAUGCGUGCCUGCAUGGCAUAUCAAUGUAUUCCUUACAUGGAAAUUAGAGAUGAACAUGGCGUGUUGUAUUUGCAUAAAAGUUGGUUAAACAUCCUCCAUGACCAUAAAUCAUGUAGAAGGCCCUUUGGAAUUUCAUUGGAACUGUCCUAUUGUGGAUUAGGAAGUGAUGGAGAUUGCUUGACGAAAAAGAGCAUUUGGAGAUGUCCUACUGUAAUUUUAUUGUUUAUCCAUCAUUUUUUUGUCUUUUCCAGUUUUCUUUUUUUUUUUUUUUGGAUGUAUUUGAAACUCUCAUCCCUUUGGGUUAAUAAAUUAUUGUAAAUGACGAA